rnacentral:rRNA from 1 species
CUGCGUAGAAGGACGAAGGUCGUUCGGAUACGUAACUUUCUUUCUAGUGGGACGAAAGCUCGGUAUGACGGUACCAUAGGAAUAAGCCCCGGCUAAAUAUGUGCCAGCAGCCGCGGUAAGACAUAUGGGGCAAGCGUUAUCGGAAUUACUAGGCGUAAAGCGCGUGUAGGUGGGUGCGCAAGUCUGCCGUGAAAUCUCCCGGCUUAACUGGGGAGGGGUCGGCGGAUACUGCGUGUCUAGAGUUGGGUAGGGGGUACCGGAAUUCCUGGUGUAGCGGUGAAAUGCGUAGAUAUCAGGAGGAACACCGAUGGCGAAAGCAGGUACCUGGGCCUUGACUGACACUGAGACGCGAAAGCUGGGGUAGCAAACAGGAUUAGAUACCCUGGUAGUCCCAGCCGUAAACGAUGAUAACUAGGUGCGGGAGGUAUCGACCCCGUCCGCGCCGACGCUAACGCAUUAAGUUAUCCGCCUGGGGAGUACGGCCGCAAGGUUA